rnacentral:tRNA from 2 species
GCUUACGUAGCUUAAGUAAAGCACAGCACUGAAGAUGCUGAGAUGAGCCCUACGAAAGCUCCGUAAGCA